rnacentral:lncRNA from 1 species
AAAAGAUAAAAAAUAAAAAUAGAAGCUCUUACGAACCCAAAUUUGUGAUUAUGUUUGGUUGAUUGCCCACUCCUAAUGGAUCUUUGUUAAUUAGGCAUAUGAAAACUUAUUGAAACCCGAACAACCGAAAUUGAAAACUUAUUUGCCCACUCCUAAUGGAUCUUUGUUAAUUAGGCAUAUGAUUUUUUAACAUAAUCAAAUGAAGC